rnacentral:lncRNA from 1 species
AACUUUCCCAGGUAUUACAGGGGAUGUAUGCGGGGUUGUUAUGCGGCAUCUAGCUGGACACGGCAAGAUUGCAGAAUAAGAGAAGAUGUAGGGGUCUUCAUCAUCAUCAUCAUCAUCAUCAUCAUCAGCUGCUGCUUAAUGCCACACGUGUCACAGACCUCACGAGCGAGGCCCCUCCCAGCCAGCCGGCUGGCAGCUGGCUGCAGCCACCUGCGGGCACUGGAAGGCGCUGGGAGAGGAAGCGAAAGUCCUGGUACAACGGAAAUAUACCUAGCUCAACAAUAUAAAAUCUAUAGCUGGUCCAAUCAAAGCCUAGCUAUCUACACAGUAGCAAUCUGAGCAAAGCUAAUAAGAGCAUCUGUCUCUGACAUGUCAGAGACAGAUAUGCGAUAGGUUUGGCAAGCCGGCAUGGUGCAGAUGGAUAGGUACUUGUACAAGUGCCGGCUUGCCAAACCUAUCGCAUAUCUAUUGCAUUUAGCUAGCACACGGCUCAUCUCAACUCACACCAGCACCAUCUAAAUAAUCUGAUAAAGCGUUUAGCGCAACCCAGCAGCUGCACCCCUGCUGGUCACAGCUCUGAAAGAUAGCAAAUUAACAACCCUAAAGAGCAACCCGAAAUUACGACAAGGUGCAAAAAAUUCAAACACCCUUUCAACGUUUAGUGUAUGUACCUAAUAAAUAGUCAAACCGACUUAGAUUAAAAUAUUCCACUUGAAUAUCGUCAAUAUUGUCAUAGAGAUAUAUCGGUGCAUCGUGUUUCAUCGAGAUGGCCGCGGCGGACGGUCUAUCCCAACCCUCCAGCAGAACGGCAAAUUAUAACUAUGUACGUGCAGUAUUAUAGUACGGCAAUAAACGAAUAUGUGAGCUAUGCAUCCAAUGGAAGGAUUUAAUGUUAUUAACAUACAUACAUGAACCUAUUCUGCCCCAGCAGCUCGAUAUCAUACCAUCAUAAAAGGACAGUCGAAAGAACUGGUCGUCUCCUCAACCCUAUACUGCUGGUACUAGGUGGCAGCAAAGCCCAAUCUGCUCAAGAGCCCCAUCAUCAGUAAAUGUGAGGCAAGAGCGUCCAUCACCACCAAUAUCCUGCUUGCCCGCCAAUAGAACGGGUACUGCCAUACACACAUACACACACAUACACACAUACACACACAUACACACAUAUAUAUACAUACAUACACACACAUCGCGAGGAUGUCUGCUCGAUUCGAGGGUCGCUCUCGGCUGGCUCUGGCUAGAGGAGCAAUGGACAGCUACAACUGCGGCUUAAUCUCUGUGUGUGCGCGUCCACGACAAUGCAUACGCAGCAGCACAGCACAUGCGGCCCUUUGCAUGUUAC